CUACGGGUUGCUGCAGUGAGGAAUUUUGCGCAAUGGGGGGAACCCUGACGCAGCAACGCCGCGUGAGUGAUGAAGGCUUUCGGGUCGUAAAGCUCUGUCAAGUGGGAAGAACCUAUGCAGUGUUAAUAUCACUGUAUACUGACGGUACCACUGAAGGAAGCACCGGCUAACUCCGUGCCAGCAGCCGCGGUAAUACGGGGGGUGCAAGCGUUAUUCGGAAUCAUUGGGCGUAAAGGGCACGUAGGCGGCUUGGUAAGUCAGAUGUGAAAGCCCGGGGCUUAACCCCGGAAGUGCAUUUGAUACUGUCAGGCUUGAGUAUGGGAGAGGGAAGUGGAAUUCCUGGUGUAGAGGUGAAAUUCGUAGAUAUCAGGAGGAACACCGGUGGCGAAGGCGACUUCCUGGACCAAUACUGACGCUGAGGUGCGAAGGCGUGGGUAGCAAACAGGAUUAGAUACCCCCGUAGUC
rnacentral:rRNA from 1 species